AAGGCUUUAGUUUAAUAAAAAUGUCUGAUUUGCAAUCAGGAGAUGCGAGUUAGUUUCUUGUAGGUCUUA
rnacentral:tRNA from 1 species